GACGAACGCUGGCGGCGUGCUUAACACAUGCAAGUCGAACGGAAAGGCCCCUUUGGGGUUACUCGAGUGGCGGACGGUUGCGUAACACGGGAGUAACCUGCCCUUGCUUCCGUGACGACUUCAGGAAACUGGGGCUACUACCGCUUAGAACUCCUUCCACCUUGGGGUGGGUGCGGAGGCUCCGCCGGCUUUGGGUGGACUCGCGGGCCGAUGGCUUGUUGGUGAGGUAGUGGCUUACCGAGGCAUUGACGGGUAGCCGGCCUGAGAGGGCGAGAGGCCGCAUUGGGACUGAGAUGCGGCCCAGACGCCUACGGGAGGCAGAAGGGGGGAAGAUUGCACAAUGGGCGGAAGCCUGAUGCAGCAGCGCCGCGGGUGGGAUGACGGUCUUCGGGUUGUAAACCGCUUUCAGCAGGGGAGAAGCUUGUGGUGACGGUACCUGAAGAAGAAGCACCGGCUAACUACGUG
rnacentral:rRNA from 1 species